GUAAAGGCAAAAGAGAGCUUGAUUGCAAGACAUACAGGUCGAGCAAGGACGAAAAUCGGACUUAGUGAUCCGGUGGUUCUGCGUGGAAGGGCCAUCGCUCAACGGAUAAAAGCUACCCUGGGGAUAACAGGCUUAUCUCCCCCAGGAGUCCACAUCGACGGGGAGGUUUGGCACCUCGAUGUCGGCUCAUCACAUCCUGGGGCUGUAGUAGGUCCCAAGGGUUGGGCUGUUCGCCCAUUAAAGUGGUACGCGAGCUGGGUUCAGAACGUCGU
rnacentral:rRNA from 1 species